rnacentral:rRNA from 1 species
CCUACGGGAGGCAGCAGUGGGGAAUAUUGGGCAAUGGGGGGAACCCUGAUGCAGCGACGCCGCGUGGGUGAAGGAGUGCUUCGGCAUGUAAAGCCCUAUCGGCAGGGAAGAAGCAAGACGGGACCGGACGAAGAAGCCCCGGCGAACUACGUGCCAGCAGCCGCGGUAAUACGGAGGGGGCGAGCGUUAUCCGGAUUCACUGGGUGUAAAGGGAGCGUAGACGGCCAUGCAAGCCAGGGGGGAAAGCCCGGGGCCCAACCCAGGGACUGCCCUUGGUACUGCAUGGCUGGAGUGCGGGAGGGGCAGGCGCACUUCCUGGUGUAGCGGUGAACUGCUUCGAUCUCAGGAG